UCACGCCCUCUCCCUCUCCUCCUCGACAAUCUCUCGCCGGCGAGCUCGUCACCGGCGAGCUCCUCGUCGGCGAACUCCUCGUCGGCGACAUAGGCGACAAGCUCUAUGCAACGAGCUCUUCGUCGCUAAUUUUCUUUCCGACGCCCUUCAAAACGGAGCUUCUCGUCUCCGAGCUCCUGGCCGGUGAGCCCCUCACCGCCGAUCUCCUCGCCGGGUAUAGAACUGACGAAUCCGCAAGCGCAUGGUAACCUGCUAGGAAGUGGAACUCAGAGCACAUAUUUCUCUGAAACGGGGACAUUUCAAAGAUCAAGGGGACUUGAAGAAAACUGAACAAGUCACCAUCACAGCUUCGACGAUUUACACGCCAGUAACUUUUACUGAUACACGACAAUGAGGAUAGACAAAAGCUGGAUAUUUUUUCAAGAUAGAACUCUUCCUGAAUUUGAGAAAGGUGUUGAGGAGUUCUUAGACUAUGCUUUUCGGAGAUUGGGGGAUGUAAGGAGAAUUCGUUGUCCUUGCACUAGAUGUAACAAUAUGAUACUUAAGACAAGGGAUGAUGUUAAAGCUGAAUUAUUCUUCAAUGGAGUGAUUUACCAUCAUCGCCUCCUGAUACCGUAGGUAAGAUAAUUUUAUUUUGUGAGGUUUAUUAUUUUAUUUUGUGUGCUAGCUAUGGAAAAACAUUAGUGACAAACUAUGUUAGUUCUAGACUUUGAUGUCCUUAGUUAUUAGUGACAUCUUUGUAAUGCACUAGAUUAUGAAUAUUCGAUGUGGUUUCAUUUUGAAAAAGUUCUUUUAUUUGCAAAUUUUCUGAAAAAUGAUUUUGGACUAGCGAAGGGUGCUAGCCCCUUUGCUAGUCCAAAAGGGAAGAAUGAGAAUAAAGAGGUUAUUCCCCUCAUAUAUAGUAGGCCAACAGCCAAAUUUGAUCUCCACACUCUUUUGAACCAACUGUGAGGAUAAUACAAGCAUGUUGGAGUUAGGUGUGUGAGGUACGGGUGCACGAUGAAGCUACACAUUUUUGAUAGAUAAAGUUGGAUUAAACAUGUAUAGAUGUUUAGCUAAUUGAAUUCUUGAUUUCACAUUCUAUCUGCAAAAUAUUUUCAGGCUUGUUUAUAAGUAUAAUCUAAUAUCCUGAUUAUUUCUUGUACUUGCUUCAUGGAAAACAUGUGUGACUUCUACUAUGUUACAAAUAUAGACGGUUAAAGUAAUUUUCUACUCUAUUUAGUGAACGUAUUGCUCUUUUACAUUUACAUUCUUGUACUGUAUGAGAAAAUAUUUUUGUUGUAUGUACACGGAUAGGAUCGUGCAUAUAUAGCUGCUUACAUAGUGAACUGGACACCUGCAUAUGUUUGUGAUUUUUUGGAACAUUGACUAGAUACUUGUAAUAUAGACGUGCAUCCGGAGUGAUAGAUGCAAAUAGUGCUUUUUUGGAAUUUUAACAAAAAUGUUAUUAGGUCUUUUGGGACAUGUUUACUUGCAAUAAUCCUUAAUUUGCUGACCUGGUUAGCUAGCUGUUUGCUGUAAUUGACAAAAGAUAUCAGGUUCUGCGGCUAAAUUAAGGUAUUAAUUAAGGGCCAAUUGCCUGGUCUUCAAAAAAACUUGAAUAAUUUUUGGUAACUUUUACUAGAUAAUGUUUCUAAGCAGAUAGGUUAAAUUGCAUAGAAAUAGUAGCGGAUUAUUUUCCCACCUUUUUUGUGUCAAAGUAGGGAAGGAAAAGGGCAGAGCACUGAGCCGGGUUAGGAAGCGAGCUGUGUUAAUUUUUAAAUAGGUGUGGAUGGCCAGUCCUUAAGGUUGAAGGCCAGUAAUGAUCUCCAGGUCGAAGAGCAUCAAAGUAAUAACUCUUGACUAGAAAAAGAAAGUGUUUGCAGAAGUAGACCAAAAGAAAAGAGAAGAAGCAAGAAGAUGGUGGUUGGGUUUCAUGGCUAUCUUGGAUAACCGAAUGGUGUCAUAGAUGCCAAUGUCUUUGCAAAAUUCACUCCGUGUUUCGACUCGAGUUGCCCACCAAAUAAAAUCUUUAGAAGAGGAAGGCCAUAACUAGAUAACACUACUAUAAAGGCCCCGAGAGAAGAUAUUGAUGGGGCCAGCCAUAGAAGCAAUGGUGGAUUCCAAACUACAAGAAGGAUCGAAGUAGUCUGGAAAUGAUGGUGAUGUGAUACAAGGGCCAAGAAUGAAAUAGGAGUUUGAAUUAGGAAGCAUGCAAAGAGUCUAGAAAUUGACAAUAGGGUCAUCAAGAAGCACAUCGCUUGUAGGAGUAGAUGUAGAAGAGGAAGCCAUGAGAGCAGAAGAAGCACAAAAGGGAAGAAUGAUACGGCCGAGAAAGAUGAAGAAUUAGGUUUCUUCGAUGAAGAAAAAUUAGGGUUUUGACAAAGAAAACCAUGCAAAGUAUAGGUAUUAUGCCAAUUCUCUUAUAAUGGACGGCCAUGUGCCCUAUGACGCGACACCCAAAUAUGAACAUAGUGAUGAAAGUAAAUUUAAGGCGCAGACGAAAACCCAAGGUAUUGGACGCUGCACGUCACAUCGAUAGAAGCGAAAUCUAAAGCAAUGGCAAUAGGCAAUUCGAUGGUUCCUUGUCACUGAACACGUAACCGUCGGAAGGGGCAAUUGUUGACUCCAAAAAUAAGCAUCGAAUAUAGGAGGCCCCAAAGGAGAUUUUAGUGAAAUCCUAGGCUUCAGCUAUGUCGAAACCCACCUGGGUCUUGAUUUCAGUAUCAUGCCUGAACAUACCCACUUCAAUGAGUAAAAGGCAAGCCCAUUUGAAUUGAACUGUUCAAAAUUCAAAGGGGGGCGAUUUAAGGACAAGAAGUUGGGAAACAAUUGAAGAAAGAAGAGCGACAAAUUGUGGGAGUUAUUUGGUGAUAGUGACUGUGCCUAUAAAAGGAAAUGAAUGCCUACAAGAUGGAGGAUCAAAACAUCGUUUCAAACACCAACCUAUACCUCGCAUUUUAGUAUGAGUAGCUAAAAGGUAAUGUAGGAAUAGCUUCAGGAUAACAUAUAAGCAGUCAUAAUAGUAGAAUUUUCCACCUUUCAGCCACUAUCUCACCCGAUACCGAUAGCCCAUGACUGCCAUUCCGCCCAUUACCGUGCCCCAUUGUACUCACCGACGAACACACCUCCACACCAAGCAUCGUCACCCCAUGGACUCUUUCCUUCUAGGGAUUGUUGUUGUACAGCGGUCCUGUUCAUUUAACUUUGGGUUCGACUGGCGACCGAAAUCAGAAAGCUGAAGUCUUAAGCCUUUGGCUAGUGUGCGUGAAGACCUUGAGGCCUUCCCUCGCGUUUGGACCCAACUGUAUUGUUCCCUCUCCGGUCCACACAUGAAACUAAGUCAGAUCCUGCCUUUCAUCAAUGGAUGUCAUUUGGUGAAUGAACCGGAUCACUCCUUAUGUCGGGUUGUGAUUUCCAUGCCAACAACUUGUUAAUUAACUACUAUGCAGACGACAAUUCUUAUAAUUAGUUAAUCUCUUCUAUCUAUAAAGCACAAUUGUGAUGAUAAGAAUUAUGUGUUUUUACAUAUUGCUCAAGCGCCAAAUAUACAAAUAUUCUCACAACAUAGAUACAUCUAAAAUAUUUUUCAUAAUUUACAUCAAUGAGAUAGUUUCAUAGUGUGCAAAGGUUGUAAAACAAGUUCAAGUUUACAUAUAGACAAGGUUUAAAAUAUCACCCCAUGCCGCUCGGCACGGGGGAAUACAUAUCGUGCCACCAAUUAAGGGGCACGAUCCAUGGAGGGUCUUUCUUGGACACCCUGUGUCGCAAUACUCUUUUGGUAUCGCGCAAGAUAUCGUGAUACUCAAACACACCGUUUGGUUCGGGGUUAAAGGG